rnacentral:sRNA from 1 species
UCAUAAAUAUAUGUAGGAUUGUUAGCGUC